UUUUCGUCAAUGGGGGAAACCCUGAACGAGCAACGCCGCGUGCAGGAAGAAGGUUUUCGGAUCGUAAACUGCUUUUCCUGGGGAAGAGAUUUGGACGGUACCCAGGGAAGAAGCCCCGGCUAACUACGUGCCAGCAGCCGCGGUAAUACGUAGGGGGCAAGCGUUGUCCGGAUUUAUUGGGCGUAAAGGGCAUGCAGGCGGUCGGUCAAGUUCCGAGUGACAGGUGGUGGCUUAACUGCCACAGGCCUCGGAAAACUGAGUGACUUGAGGGCUUCAGAGGGACACGGAAUUCCAGGUGGAGCGGUGAAAUGCGUAGAGAUCUGGAAGAACACCAAUGGCGAAGGCAGUGUCCUGGGAAGCAUCUGACGCUGAGGUGCGAAAGCCAGGGGAGCGAAC
rnacentral:rRNA from 1 species